rnacentral:rRNA from 1 species
GUAAGCGUGCGCAGGCGGUUAUAUAAGACAGAUGUGAAAUCCCCGGGCUCAACCUGGGAACUGCAUUGUGACUGUAUAGCUGGAGUGCGGCAGAGGGGGAUGGAAUUCCGCGUGUAGCAGUGAAAUGCGUAGAUAUGCGGAGGAACACCGAUGGCGAAGGCAAUCCCCUGGGCCUGCACUGACGCUCAUGCACGAAAGCGUGGGGAGCAAACAGGAUUAGAUACCCCUGU